GCAAAAGCACACUAUCUACUGGGAUCUUGGAUAACCAAACUGUUAUUUUAUAAAGCAAUUUUCUAUUUAUAUACUGUGGUAAGCUUUAACUAACAAAAUACCAUAUGUUUCAUGUAAAUGACACUGUUGACAUAUACAUUUAAUAUGUUCCGUGCUUUCAUGUAGUGCAUUCCAUGAUAUUCAAGGGAUUGUCACAUUUCCUGACCCCUACUUUCACUUCUUG
rnacentral:lncRNA from 1 species